GAACGAGCUUAGAGCUUGCUUUUUCUUAGUGGCGAACGGGUGAGUAACGCGUGAGUACCUGCCCUAGAGUGGGGGACAACAGUUGGAAACGACUGCUAAUACCGCAUAAACCGCAUGGUAAAAGGAUUUAUUCGCUUUAGGAUGGACUCGCGUCCAAUUAGCUAGUUGGUGAGGUAACGGUCCACCAAACCUACGAUCAGUAGCCGGUCUGAGAGGAUGAACGGCCACACUGGAACUGAGACACGGUCCAGACUCCUACGGGAGGCAGCAGUGGGGAAUCUUCCGCAAUGGACGAAAGUCUGACGGAGCAACGCCGCGUGAGUGAUGACGGCCUUCGGGUUGUAAAGCUCUGUGAUCGGGGACGAAGGCUGGUAUGCAAUACCAUAUCAGAGUGACGGUACCCGAAUAGCAAGCCACGGCUAACUACGUGCCAGCAGCCGCGGUAAUACGUAGGUGGCAAGCGUUGUCCGGAAUUAUUGGGCGUAAAGCGCGCGCAGGCGGCUUCUUAAGUCCAUCUUAAAAGUGCGGGGCUUAACCCCGUGAUGGGAUGGAAACUGGGAGGCUGGAGUAUCGGAGAGGAAAGUGGAAUUCCUAGUGUAGCGGUG
rnacentral:rRNA from 1 species